AACUUCCCGAAGAACAUACUCUGCUUCGGAUGGAACCAAAUAUUUGAGCAAUGGUGACGAAAAAGGACCUUCGAAAAAGAUUCUCAUUAAUGAGAACAAAAUUGACACUCUUAUACUUGAUCUUCUUUAGCCGGCAUCUGAUCUGAAGGAAGGACGCCAUAUGCCAUCAAAGUUAUAAGCAUCCGUAGUAGCCAACUUCGAUAAUGCAUCAGCAAUGGAAUUGUUAUUGUGAUCGACCCCUUGAUAGCCUGCUGUACUGAUGUCCGAAAUAGAAUAUCCAUCUGCAUGCAAUGUCCACGAGCUCUGUUUCUGCUGAAGUACUGCAACUGCUUUGUCGGACUCCUCAGCUGCUUUCCAUCUGAAGCUGUAACUUUAGAUGGAUUUCCCCGAAGACAAGUAUCCACAGGGCGGUGUGCCCUCAG
rnacentral:lncRNA from 1 species